rnacentral:rRNA from 1 species
UACGUAGGGGGGCGAGCGUUGUCCGGAUUCAUUGGGCGUAAAGAGCGUGUAGGCGGCCAGGUAGGUCGGUUGUGAAAAACUGGAGGCUCAACCUUCAGAGGUCGACCCGAAAACCAUCUGGCUAGAGUCCGGGAGAGGAGAGUGGAAUUCCUGGUGUAGCGGUGAAAUGCGCAGAUAUCAGGAAGAACACCCGUGGCGAAAGCGGCUCUCUGGAACGGUACUGACGCUGAGACGCGAAAGCGUGGGAGCGAACAGG